UUUUCAACAUAAGUAUAUCCCAUGCAAUAUUUGGGAUAUACUUAUACUAAAA
rnacentral:pre_miRNA from 1 species